GCGUGUGCGCCUUACUGUCUUAUCUGGAGGUAAUUUUGUGAAAAACCAAUUAACACAUCAAGUUUUUAAUGGAACAUAAAACUUAAAACCGCUCAAAACUGAGAGAGGCAAAGAUUGGUGACACAGCGUUAGUUUCUCCUGGAAGAGUUAAUAUAUCCAGGCAAACUUUAGUAAACACAUUGGUGUUGAGAUUUCUGCACUGUGUAAGAGGAGGUGAGGGAGAAGAGGGAUGAUCAGUAGAAGAUGAUGGUUUCUUGAACUGGGGACAGUCACUUUUUAUAAAUCAAUUAUUAUGGUCUGGAGUUUUGAAGCUGGAAAGGAGGAGUGAAGAUUAUGGGCUCUGGGUACCCCACAGGUUGGGUGGUGAGGAUAGGCUCCUUUGGUAGACAUUAUAGAGAGCUCCAUUUGAGGAAAGGAAUUUCAGAAUAGCUUCUAGAAUUUGAGAGAAUCGCAGCUGUCUUUUCCCGUGGCUUCAUUUGUUAGAAAUUGUCAUAAAGAAGCCCAAUUUCUGUUGUUGACAGUAUGGAGUCUUGGUGUUUUGGACAUCCUCCAUUCUGGGAAAUAAGUCCCAAACCAGCCCUACUCCAUAAUAUCCCAGCAUAUUCCAGUGAGCAGUAUACUACUUGUCAGGAGAACUGGGUUCUGCCUGUGACACUUACAACUUUGUAUCCUGGCCUAGGGCCUGCACUGUGUCACCUGUACAGUAGGGGAGGCACUAACCAGCCCAGAAUGGAUUUAAGCUGAUUCUUUCUGACCAGAUCUUGAGGUUUGGAGCCUGGCCUGGUGCAGCCUGGAGCUCAUUUCCAUCCGCAGGGACCUUUGAGAAGGGAGGGGCAGAGGCCUGAUGGAGCCCAGGCUUUUCUGUUCCAGGCUUCCCUGUCAUCUUCCAUAUUAUCAGCCUAGGGCAUCUUGCCCUAGAGCCUCCUGAGGAUUCACUGUCCGCUUGUUUAUCUUUCAGUGAGGAUCUUAGCAGAUCUUGAGUCAUUUUUGAGUUUUUAAUGAUGACAUUAGCAGAUAAAAAUGCAGUGUUAGUACAGUUUUUUAAGUUCUUACGCUUCAGUGUUCAGUAGAUCCCCGGUUAUUAUCUGUCGUUCAUUUACUCAACAAACACUGAAGGAUAAACAUUUGAUUAAGACACAGACCUUGUCUUCAAGAAGGGUGUUAGAGGGAAGGAGGAGCAUAGAUGAGACCCGGGGAGUUUUGGGGUUGGUGUUCCCCUUUGGGAGUCCUCUGCCUCUUGGCUCUCUGGCUUCCUGCAAGGAAGAAAGAAGGCUGUGACUAGUGCAGAUCAAAUUUGCAGGAAGGUGCUGAGACUCAAGUCAGCUUUUAGGGAAGUAGAAAUAUACCAGGACCUCCACAUCUGUUACUCUGCUUCCGUGACACCCAGGAAACUUGAAGCUUGAUGUACAUGCUCGUGGCAGCAUGGUGGUAGACUGUUUCCUCAUGAAGCUGUUGGGUGAGGGUGGAGGAAACUCACAUCAGUGAUAAUGGUGCAGUGGGAAUCGUGGGUUAGGGCUCAAAGGAGUGGGCUAAAGAGGUGGGAGGGAAGGCUUUUUGUUUUUAUGGUAAUGUAGCUGUUAACCUUACAGAGAGUCCUAAAAUUAAGAUUUUUUUAGCUAUAUACAUGUGAUUUACUUUGAGGCUAACUAGGGAAAAUAGGGCAUUUAUGAGAUUAAUUUCUUUGGGCAGCUAGAAUGUGUCUCCUAGGUGCAAAGACCCCAAACAUGCAGGGAUUUGGAUCUUGAUUAUGUCCUUACUUAACUCCACAAGUAGUGUGAAGUUUAAUAACAGUAUCAUAUUAGUAUUUUAAGCUUAUAUUAAAUAAUAUGGUAGUAUAUUACAGUAGUUUGUUUUCAACUAUCUAGUUGAUAGUGCAAGAACUGUAAAGCCUCUCUUUUCUUCAGAACUGAAAAUGAAACUAAUUUUUGUGAAGCUCCAGAUUAAAAAUAAUCUGAGUUGAUUUUAAGAACUGUGCAUGAAAAGAAAAUUAAGUUUUUUAUGCAAAAUCGUUAGGAUCUUUAGGCUCCAUGGAACACAGAUUUGCAUGGUGCUGUUACCUGGGUUUUUACUGAUUGUAAAAGAUACUGAGUACUUAACAUGGGGGUUUUUGGAAGCAAGGUGACAUCCUGCUCAUUGCAGUUAGGCUAAUGAUAGCAUAAAUAGUAAGGUACCGGUCACUAUUUCAAGUGCAGAGAAACAUCUGUUCAUAAAGUACUAAAAAUGGUUCUUAUAUGAAGGUGCUUGCAUUUGGUUUAGGCUUGGUUUUUGUUUGGUUUUAUCUUAAUUAAUUAUUUUGCUUCCUGCCAUUAAGGAUAUGUGUCGAUCAUGUUAAUAAUACCCUGGGAAAAGAAAUGAGCAAGUAUUUGAUUGACAGAUAAAUAUGGAUGCACAGGUAUAUUGUAGAUGCUUUCACAUCUGUGUUUCCAUGUAUAUCUGAAUAGAUAGAUUUUUAAUCUCACAUAUGCACCAAAUUAGUUGAGCACGUUUUUUGAGUCCUUACAUGUGCCAACCACUGUCCUCAGUGAUUUGCGGAACCAGGAUGAGUAAGGCAGAUCCUAUCCUAAGGUGUUGACACACUAAUAGGGGAGAGAAGAUUGCAAAAUAAGCUUUAUGCACAUUUAAAUAGAAGAUUGUAUCGUUGGAGAGUUAUAAGUAAAGCCCUAAAGAGUCCUCAGGAAGGCGAGUACUCCUAGUCUAGGGAAUCAGAAAAAGCUUAAUGAAGGAGAUGGCAUUUUGAGCUGAAAGUAGACUUGAAUUGUUGUAGAUGGAGGGUCCUGCACAGGUGAAGGCUCCUGGAGAGGAAAUCAUGGGCUGUACCUGGGGAGCAGUGAGUAGUUAAGACUGGUGAAGUGUAGAGAGAGUUAGGGAUAUAUGGAUCUGGGUCACGCGGGAUGGUGUGGAGAAGGUGGACAAGGGCCAGGUUGUGGAGUAUUGACUUUAUUCUUUGUUUUGGGUUUUUGACCUGGAAGGUGCCCUGAUUAGAGUUUUGCUGCAGGAAUAUGGUGACUGUGUGGUUGGAGCCUAGAGGCUGGGACAUGGAUGGGCAUGGGGGCAGAGAGCUGUGGUCUUAGAUAUUACUUAGGAGACUUUUGCCAUAAUUUAGACAGGAAGUAAUGAGGAGGGCAUAAAGUAAAAAGGUGAUGUGUAAAAGAAGUAUUUUGGGAUAAACUGGAUGGGUAUUUGGACCUGAUUAGUUUAGGUUAUUUAUUUAUUCAAUAAAUAUUUACCAAUAAUCUUCUUCUGCCCCACACUAAGGUGAGCUUAGUGUUCCCUGGCUGGGUGAGAUUGAGAAGCUGGAGGUAUUAAAUAUAGCUUUAGGUUUCAGCCCUGGGAGACCAGGAAAGUGGUGAUGCAGAAAUCUGAGAACACCCUCCUUUUUACGUGGGUCUUGAGGGGAGUGUAAAUUUAUCUGGUCUCCUGCUUUCAGAUAAACCAUUGCAGACAGAUGAGAAUCUCAUCUCGCAUUAUAAACUACCACCAGAGAAAAGGAUUAGCAGUGAGCUGUUAGUGGCCUUCAUUUUUUAGAGUGUUUAGGGUAGAGCAGACAGCUUUAAAAACCAUCUAUCUAGCUAGUCCUCUUUAAAAUACUCCGUCAUGAUCAGUGUGUGUUUAACCGUGGGGCCCCAACCAGCUGCCUUCUCUGCUAUGGUCUGCAAGCCUGACAUUCUGACUUCCUAUCAGUUUUUUGGAACGAACUUUCCUGUCUCCCCUUUUCAGGGAAAAAUUAAAGAAGCCUUUAAAAAUGGUAGGAUCAUAAUUAUUUAGAGUCAAGAUAGUCAGGUAAUUAAUUUUACCACUCUUUGUGCAGAGUUCUAAAGUUUACUUGUUUUAGGUAAGAGAAAAUGUGGCUGCUUUGUACCAGAAGGCCCCAAUUCAGUUUUGGAGCCUUGACCAAGAGAUUUGUGAAGGGCAGAAGGAAGCCCAUUGGUGAAGGCAUAUGAUAAAAGAAAAAGGAGGAGGAUACAAGGAGAAUUUACCCUAAAUGGAAGAAGAUCUGCAGGUCUCAGUGGGGGGGCUUCAGAAUAGAGAAACACAGUAGGAAGCAAAAAUGUGAAGGUGUUGAACCUCCAUUUCUUACUGUAAGGUAGUGCAGCUCAACGUGAUACCCACAGACAGGGAUUUGCCUGUGAAUCGUUUAUAGCUGACCUGUGAUGAACUAUAUACAGAGGAGAAUAAGGGUGUAGAAACUUUAACAAUUUGACAGGCCAACUUUAUUCAAUCUAAUAAAAAAUUGGGACUUUUA